rnacentral:lncRNA from 1 species
UUUAUUGGGAUGUAUACCUUGUAGGUGUCCCUCGGGAUCACCAAUUUAUUUUGCACCUUCGGGAGCAUUAGACUGAUAUGUGUUUCUGCAGAACACUAGACUGAUAUGUACGUCCUUCGGGGCGAUAGACUGAGAUGUGUAUCCUACGGGAUCACAAGACUGUGACUGUACAGGGUGUCCCAAUAGAUCGUUAAUAAUUUAUUUUCCCCUGACGGGACCAGUAGAGGGUCUCUUACUGAGUAUUUAAAUACUCACCCUUCUUAUGUUUAAUUUUCAGGCAAAGGUAAUAAAGGCGGCAAACAGGCGAGGGGCAGGAAGGAAGCGUGAUGCCAUAGGAAACGUGUUUUUGCUUCCGCUUAUGGGUUCUUGUGAGGUUUAAAAUGAAUUGAAAUUUAGUUUACAAACGUUUGUUGUAAAUAGUAUUAUUUUAGGUUUUCUUGAAUGUUUAAAAAUCAGGCCUGACUUGAAGAUGUUUUUUUUUAAAAUUGCUUACGUUUUGUUUUAUAUUAAUCAAAGUCUUUUAUUUGUUAAAAAUUAACGAUCUCGACUUACUUAAAAAGUUGGGUCGUUACAAAACAGAUUCAAUUGGAUGGAUAAGUAGAAUUAUGAACAUGACCGUUCAUUGACUACUAGUUGUCAUAUGUAACCUUCUUCAACAGUAAUUGACAGUUGCUUGAUAGAUGAGUUCAGGUUCAUGUCUACUGAUCGUUUCAUUCCGAAAGCAAUUGUGCAUAAGGCAUGUACAAAUCUUGGAGUUAAUAUAAGUUAGCAGAAAGCUUGGAGGGCAAAAGAACACAUAGUAAAGAUAUUAAAAGGUGACACAGUUAAAUCAUACAUGUUGAUUCCAAGGUUCUUUGAUUGAUAAAUUGGUUGAAUCUAUCUCAGGUAUAAUGAGUUUCAUAUAUAGAAUGAUGACAUCAAAUUGUGUAGACAGUGUAAAUUUAGUUUUUAAAGAUCUUAGAGAACUACCUGUAGCUACCAUGCUUAGUUCAAUUAGAGAUGUAUUGCAAAAGUGGUUUGAUGAAAGAAGUAAAGCUACUUUUACAAUGAAGAGUUGUUUGACUUCUUGGGCUGAGAACGUGUUGCAUUUAGAAUAAAGUCAAGAAUUUUAUUGGUAAGGUUUUUUUUUUUUUUAAUGUUUGUAUCUCAGGUAGAUAUAAAUAGACUGCUAUUUUUGUCUAUCGAUAGAGAAAUAUAACAAUUUAUGUGUGCUUGUUUCAGAUAGAUAGAGAUAGAUAGCUAUCAAUGUCUAUUUGUCUCUAUUUGUGCAUGCUUUUUUUUUUUUAAUUUUUCUAUAUUUGUUUUAUGUAUUAGGUUGAUCCAAUUAGUAUGACUAAAUACAAAGUAAUGGAUGAUACAAAAUGAUAAUGUGAUUUAUUUAUAUUGGUUCUAAUUUGAAAUAUUCAAAUUUAUUUUGAAAAUUAGUAUAAUUAGUAUAAUAUACAGUGAUACAUUAUAAUAUAAAGUUUAUAUGUUAAUGAAACUUUAUUAUAUAAAUUUAAUUUAGUUAUGAGAUAAAGUUAUAUUAGAAUAAGAUUCAAAUUUAACUUAAGUUAAAUAUAAAAUAUUUAAUUUAGUUAUUAAUUAAUUAAUAGUUUAGUUUAAUAUUAUUUAAUUAAAUUUGAUUUAAUUAAAUUAAUAUAAAACUAUAAGGUAUUAGAGAUAUUCAUUCAAUAAGAUUUAAAUGAAAUAUUAAUUAAAUAUGAUUUAAUUAAAUUAUUAACUAAUUGAUUAAUGGUUAAUUAGUUAGUUGAUUUGAAACUUCUAUUAAUUUAAUAUUUUUUAAGUUAAUAGAAUCCUAUGAUUUUCUCCUACCCCGUCUCCUACUCAAUGAAAGAAAGAGAGUUAUAAAUAUGUAGAAGAAAAACAGCUUUUCUUAACCAAAAUAAAAUCGAUGAUUUUCUUUUAUGCAAAAUAGAUUGUAACGACCUAAUUUUUCGAAUUAAGCUGAAGUUAUUACUUUAAGACUAGAUUCGUCCUUUAACCAUAAGACUUUAUAAUUUAAAAAAAAAUAUUUUUUAACAACAUUAAAGAGUUUUUAUUCGGGCUCUAUUUCAAAUAAAAUUUUGAAAGUGUAAAAGUAUCGAUAAUAAAGAAAGUUCAAGAACAUAAAAGUCGUUCAAUCAUGAAACCCAAAACAGUCUCAAUUACUAAAGAAAACCAAAAUAAAAAAUAAAUAAAGUAUGAGCAAUUUGAAGGACAUUUCCCUAUGGCAGUUUCGCGGAAAAAGAUUAAACAUAAAAGGGUGAGUAUAAACAUACCCAGUAAGAGACCCACUACUGAUCCUGUUAGAAGAAAAAUAAAAUUGUUAACUUCCUAUUGGAGGUGCCCUGCACUUUAAAAGUCUUGUGAUCAUGUAGAAAUACACAUAAUCAGUCCAAUGCCCUAAAGGACACAUAUAUUAGUCUAGUGCUCUUCAGAAAGCACAUGUAAGUCUAGUGCUUUUGAAGAAUGCACAUGUGAUUCUAGUGCUCUCGAAGAAUGCACAACAGGUGGUGAUCCCGUAGGACACCUGCAAGGCACACUACCCAAUCGACAAAGCUAACAAUUUUCCCUUAGUCCGUUAUAAACAUUUAAUCAAUCCAUUCCUAGUAUAGUCAAACUACAUCAUUGUAAAGCCCCAAAGGUAAAUAUAUAUAUAUAUAUACAUUUUUUUAUUUUUUAUAUAUUUUUAUUUAAUUUAAAUAAAAAUAAAAGAAAAAGAAAAUUCUUUAUUAUAUAUAUUUUUUCUUUUCUUUUUUCUUUUUUCUUUUCUUUUUCUUUUUCUUCUCUCUUCUCCUUCCUCCCCGUGCGCCCUUCCCCUUCUCUCCGUUCGCAGCCCAGCAACCGCCACCCCGAGACUUCUCUUCUUUCGUUUCUCUUUCUCUUUUCUUCUUCCGCCCAGCGCCGCGACCGACCCCCAUCCGUUCACAGCAACCGCCGACCUCCAUUCCUCUUCUCCUUCCGUUCGCAGCAAGGCGCCGACCAUCUCCCGCCGACCAUCUCCUUCUUCUCUUCUCCUCUCCGCUCCGUCCAAACCCAGCCUCACCGCCGCGUCUCCCCUACUGAAGCCGAACGCCCGAUCUGCCGUCUCCAUCUCCGGUUCGCGAAGCAACCUUGCAGCAGUCGUCCCGCGCGCCGAUCUGCCGUCUCCAUCGCCGGUUCUGUCUCCGUCGAAGCCACGGUUCUGCAACCGUCUCCGUCGGUUCUGUCUCCGUCGACCACGCUCCCCGCUCACAACCGCCGCUCCACCUGCUAUCAACGUCGGCCGACUAGUUGCUGUAACCGUUCAGAUUUGCUGUAACCGUUCAGAUUUGCUGUAACCGUUCAGAUUCGCGGUCUGUUCGCGACGGUCUCCAUCCGUGAAGCCCAGCCGCUACGUUCCCUUUGGCCGACCGCUGACCGACCCACACUUAGGAUUUUUGCUGCGAGUUCGACAUUCGUGCGUUGAGGUGUUGGGAGUAACGUUAGGCUCCCUUACAUUCACAACCCGUUUGUGAAUUGUUGAAGGUUCAGUUCGCCAAUAUAUCGGUGAGUUGGAACUUACGUUGAGGAAAGUAAGUGACAUAUGUAUCGUGAAAGUAAUUGAAUUUUGUAUUGUUAUGCUUAGGAUUGUUUUGAGGACGUUAGUUGAUUAAGGAGCUUCCCUAACUUUGAGGUAAGGGAAUUUUCUACUGGACUCACUUAUGACUGUGAAUUGUAUGUGUUAAAUGUAUACUGUGGAUUGACUGAAAAUAUAUAUGAAUGCAUAUGAAUUGAAGUAGACUUGACGUCGAAUGUAUAUCGUGAUUGUCAUGGAAUAUAUAUAUAAGUGUGUGUAUGUGGACAGGACGAAGAUUGUAGAUUGUGUUUGUAUGAGAUGCAGAUGUGAACUUGUGAUUUUCGUUUAGAUUGGGUGUACGUUACGUUAAAGUGUGACUGUGUGCUGAUGAACUGAGGGGUGUGUUGACUGUAUAGUUUGAUUGACUAAUGUAUUAGCAUAUUAUUGACAGACAUAUGACUGAAGUAAAAUAAGUUGAUUGUUAGGACGAUGAAAGAAAGAACUUUGUGUUUUGAAGUAAUUGAAAGAUGGAUUGAAUGGAAUGAGGGGAAAAUUGUUAGAUUGUAUUGGGAUGUGUACCUUGUAGGUGUCCCACGGGAUCACCAAUUUAUUGUGCACCUUCGGGAGCAUUAGACUGAUAUGUGUUUCUGCAGAACACUAGACUGAUAUGUACGUCCCUCGGGGCGUUAGACUGAGAUGUGUAUCCUACGGGAUCACAAGACUGCGACUGUACAGGGUGUCCCAAUAGAACGUUAACAAUUUAUUUUCCCCUGACGGGACCAGUAGAGGGUCUCUUACUGAGUAUUUAAAUACUCACCCUUCUUAUGUUUAAUUUUCAGGCAAAGGUAAUAAAAGCGGCAAACCGGCGAGGGGCA